AGCAGCAGUGGGUAAUAUUGGACAAUGGGGGCAACCCUGAUCCAGCCAUGCCGCGUGUGUGAUGACGGCCUUAGGGUUGUAAAGCACUUUCAGCAGUGAAGAUAAUGACAUUAACUGCAGAAGAAGCCCCGGCUAACUUCGUGCCAGCAGCCGCGGCAAUACGAAGGGGGCUAGCGUUGUUCGGAAUCACUGGGCGUAAAGAGUCGUAGGCGGACUGAUAAGUUAGGGGUGAAAUCCCAAGGCUCAACCUUGGAACUGCGUUUGAUACUGUCAGUCUUGAGAUCGAGAGAGGUGAGUGGAACUCCGAGUGUAGAGGUGAAAUUCGUAGAUAUUCGGAAGAACACCAGUGGCGAAGGCGGCUCACUGGCUCGAUACUGACGCUGAGGUACGAAAGCGUGGGGAGCAAACAGGAUUAGAUACCCUGGUAGUCCACGCCGUAAACGAUAAAUGCUAGUUGUCAGGUAGCUUGCUAUUUGGUGACGCAGCUAACGCAUUAAGCAUCCGCCGGGAGACGGCGGC
rnacentral:rRNA from 1 species